rnacentral:rRNA from 1 species
CAGUAGCCGCGGGAAUACGUAGGGUGCAAGCGUUAAUCGGAAUUACUGGGCGUAAAGCGUGCGCAGGCGGUCCGCUAAGACAGAUGUGAAAUCCCCGGGCUUAACCUGGGAACUGCAUUUGUGACUGGCGGGCUAGAGUAUGGCAGAGGGGGGUAGAAUUCCACGUGUAGCAGUGAAAUGCGUAGAGAUGUGGAGGAAUACCGAUGGCGAAGGCAGCCCCCUGGGCCAAUACUGACGCUCAUGCAUGAAAGCGUGGGGAGCAAACAGGAUUAGAUACCCCGGUAGUCCCUGUCUCUUAUAU